AGCUUGGUGGUGGGCAGCGCUUCAGACUCAGGGUUUGUGGGGGUGGAAACAGUCAUUGGAUCUCACAAGUUCUGAGACUUGUUCCUGCUGGGAUUGGCUUCUUGCUGCAGCAGGGCCCGUCCUGAGCACCUUUCAUCCAGUACCAGGGAGUGACUAGUGGGAGGUGCUGGGAAGGAGCUGAGAUACAGGUGGUGUGUGGCUGGGGACUGAGCCUGGGAAGGUGAGACAGUCAGCUGGAGCUCCUGUCUUCAGGGAAGGUCCAAACAGGUACACUCAGCUGCCCAGGUAGGGGGACACCUGCCUUGACCUGCAAUUUGACUUUGAACAUCAGGAUCAAAGCAGCGGUGCUGUAGUCUCUCAAGACUGGUUUUUAUUUGCCUCUCUGGCUACAAGACUGUCUUGGCAACUGCCUGGGCCUGUGCAUCUGAACACAUGGGUCUUUCCCAUGGACACCAGGAGGAGAUGCCAGCCGGCCUGCGGUCUGGCAAGUGCAGGCCUGUGAGCCCCUUCAUGGUCAGAGACAGCUGCAGGGAUGGUGGAGGCCGAGGGUUGGUCUGAGCUGGUGCCCACCCGGGGCAGGAGCUGCCACAGCUGAGGCCUAAACUCUGGACAUAGCUGGAGCAGCCCAAGAUGUCCAGCCCCUUGGAGUCCUAGUGCUGUGUCCAAACUGCUGCUUCAUGCCCACUGUGCUGAGGAUGCACAUGGGGCCCCCUGGAAGCCCCUGCUGGAUGCUGUUGACGAGUUUUGAGCCCGUGGACUCAUCCUUGGAAUCUCUGCCCUGAGAGCCCCCACUGUCCCUGCUGGGAGUCCCAAAUCCCCAGUUUGGGGAGGGGUGGGCAAGGCAAGAGGGUGGGGCCUCUUUACCUGCCACUGCCCUUUUUCUCUAGGCACCGUGCUGGCCAAAGAGCUUUGGCCUCCCCCUGCUGUGUGGUGGUCCUACCACUAUGGACACCCCCAGCCAGUGCCCCUUGGAAGGCACAGACCCAGCCUGCUGACUGGUGCCUGAGGAGUAGUGAGGUGGGCCUGGAUCCUGAGGGAGGGAGAAAGAGCCAUUGGACAUUGCCUCUUUCCUUGUCCCCAUGUGGAGGAUGCUGGGGAGGGAUGUUGGGGUGGGUAGUGAAUUGGGGAGAAGAGGAAGUGAGACAUUCAGCCACCUCUGGCUGCCCUUCAAGGGGCUGGGCCUGGGUCUGGCUGAGCAGGGCAGCCGGGGUAGGCGGGUCUGACUCAGCACAGUGACGACACAGGGCCCGCCUGCUUUUCCCUGCACCCUGUAGUAUGCUAACGUUAAAUCAUUUGGCAAGAGUGUGUUUUUUAUAUAACUACUGCCUAACUUCUCGGUGUUCUGUUUGAGAGGUCUCUGUUGGGAUAAAGUUGUCUUUUGGAAUUGCAAA